rnacentral:rRNA from 1 species
UGGGGAAUAUUGGGCAAUGGGCGCAAGCCUGACCCAGCAACGCCGCGUGAAGGAAGAAGGCUUUCGGGUUGUAAACUUCUUUUCUUCAGGGACGAACAGAUGACGGUACCUGAGGAAUAAGCCACGGCUAACUACGUGCC